rnacentral:lncRNA from 1 species
GUGAUUUACGAAAGGCAAAAGAAUAAAUGAAUAGAGUGUAGGGUUUUGACAGGAACUCAAGUCUUCUUCGCCGUUCAUCCCAAUCGCCCCUCAUUCAAAUAUUUCUUUUAUCCAAUAACAACCGACCCAUAUUAUUCAUCACCUAUCCUUACCCUUUUACACCUUCGUCCCUGCACACGAUCCAGAAUCCCUUCGCCUAAAAAAAAAGGUCGAGCUAUGCGCCGCCGCAAACCAGCCUCACCACACCUUCCGAUUUAAACAUCCGCCGCCAUUGAAGGUUGUGUCUGGUUCUUUCGUUUUGCCUCCGUGCGACCCAACUCGGUCCUUGACUAGCCGCCGCCGCAACACCUCGUCACUGUUGUUUUAGUUUCUGCACCAUAAACCAGCCACCUCAGUCGCUCUGGGCUAGAUCAAGAUCUUAUACCAGCAUCGCCUCUUGAUCUAUUCUGCUUAUUCCAACUUGUAGAGAAAUUUUCUUGUCACUGUGAUUUUUAAUGUGAAAAGAUGAUGUUCAUUGGGAUAUGGUUCUUGUACUAUUUGUGGGCGACUUGAUUUCUGUGUUGCUUUGCUCUGCUAUAUCUAAGGUAAUAUGGGAUGAUCUGGGAUUUCAGUGAGGAGCGUUAGGAAGUUGCUGACCAAGAUUAUUUAUUUUAGUAAUGUAAUAAAUGUAAUUAGGACCUUUUAUUUAAUGUUAUGGAUUGGUUUUUAGUUUUGAUAUCUGUAAGAGUGACACGUCAGCCCUAGCAGGGUUGGGGUGUUA